rnacentral:rRNA from 1 species
GUCCCAGUUCGGAUUGUAGUCUGCAACCGACUACAUGAAGCUGGAAUCGCUAGUAAUCGCGAAUCAGAAUGUCGCGGUGAAUACGUUCCCGGGUCUUGUACACACCGCCCGUCACACCAUGGGAGUCGGAAAUGCCCGAAGUCAGUGACCCAACCGUAAGGAGGGAGCUGCCGAAGGUGGAGCCGGUAACUGGGGUGAAGUCGUAACAAGGUAGC